CCUACGGGUGGCUGCAGUGGGGAAUAUUGGACAAUGGGCGAAAGCCUGAUCCAGCCAUGCCGCGUGUGUGAAGAAGGCCUUCGGGUUGUAAAGCACUUUCAGUGGGGAAGAAAGCCUUGGGGCUAAUACCCUCGAGGAAGGACAUCACCCACAGAAGAAGCACCGGCUAACUCCGUGCCAGCAGCCGCGGUAAUACGGAGGGUGCGAGCGUUAAUCGGAAUUACUGGGCGUAAAGCGCGCGUAGGUGGUCUGAUAAGCCGGUUGUGAAAGCCCCGGGCUCAACCUGGGAACGGCAUCCGGAACUGUCAGGCUAGAGUGCAGGAGAGGAAGGUAGAAUUCCCGGUGUAGCGGUGAAAUGCGUAGAGAUCGGGAGGAAUACCAGUGGCGAAGGCGGCCUUCUGGACUGACACUGACGCUGAGGUGCGAAAGCGUGGGUAGCAAACAGGAUUAGAUACCCUAGUAGUC
rnacentral:rRNA from 1 species